rnacentral:rRNA from 1 species
GAUGAACGCUAGCGCAGGCCUACACAUGCAAGUCGAGGGAGAAGCCUUUCGGGGCAGAAACCGGCGCACGGGUGCGUAACGCGUAUGCAACCUACCUUUCACAGGGGGAUAGCCCGAAGAAAUUUGGAUUAAUACCCUAUAACAUUGUGAGAUGGCAUCAUUUAGCAAUUAAAACUACGGUGGUGAAAGAUGGGCAUGCGUCCUAUUAGCUAGUUGGAGUGGUAACGGCACCCCAAGGCUACGAUAGGUAGGGGUCCUGAGAGGGAGAUCCCCCACACUGGUACUGAGACAGGGACCAGACUCCUACGGGAGGCAGCAGUGAGGAAUAUUGGUCAAUGGUCGGAAGACUGAACCAGCCAUGCCGCGUGCAGGAAGAAUGCCUUAUGGGUUGUAAACUGCUUUUAUAUGGGAAGAAUAAGGUGUACGAGUACAUU